AAAAAAAUCAUUUUUAACAUAACUUCGUUAUGUUUUAUAGAAUUCAAAAGCAUAGAUAAAGAUUAUACAUAAUCCAAAAGCUUAAAUAAGGUUCUUAAUGUAAAAGCAUAGACAAGUAUCAUACAUAAUCCAAACUCCAGAGCAUAGAUAAGUAUCAUACAUAAUUCAAACUCCAAAGCAUAGAUUAGGUUCAUACAUACAUAAUUAAACUUCAGUCUUUCCUUAUACAUAAUCUUCUGAACCAUCAUCCUCACCCAUGUAGUCAUUAUACAAGCUCAUUACACUCUUAUCCAUCUGAAAAAAUGAAUAUAAACUAUCAUCAAUAUACAAUCAAACAUAAACAAGCAUACAACAACAGUACAAUCAAGUUAAGAAACAACAGAACCAAACUCAUCACUAUAAGCAAACAACGGAACCAAAGUGAUAACAUAACCAUUAAGCAAUUAACAAUGUUAAGCAAUGAACAUGUUAAGCAAUGAACACUGAAACCAUUAACAGUUUACACAAAUCACACUGACUUUACUGAAGCUAGUAAGUAACAACAACCAAAGAAACACAGAAGUGGCUAUGAAUUCUAUUUAAAAAUCGUAAAUCCAACCAAAGAACACGGCGCGACAGUGGCUACGAGAAUAGAUUAUAUAAAUAACAAUGAAACAAAACCAAACACUUAAUAAUGAAUCAUAUUCCAGCAACAAGAUCAAGGAGUAUAAACACUUAACACAAUCCAUCAACAGAAUUAUAAAUCAGAGAAUCCCAUAACACUAAAAGUAACAUAACACUUAACAUAAUCACAUCUACGGUCUACCUUAACAACAAACAACAAACCAUCAGCACAAACCCAUCAUUCCAUCAACACAAACCAUCAA
rnacentral:lncRNA from 1 species